rnacentral:rRNA from 1 species
GACGUAGGGGACGAGCGUUGUUCGGAAUUACUGGGUGUAAAGGGUUCGUAGGCGGUGCGGCAAGUCGGGAGUGAAAUCUCUGGGCUUAACCCAGAGGCUGCUUCCGAAACUGCUGUGCUUGAGUGUGGGAGAGGCGCGUGGAAUUGCAGGUGUAGCGGUGAAAUGCGUAGAUAUCUGCAGGAACACCCGUGGCGAAAGCGGCGCGCUGGACCACUACUGACGCUGAGGAACGAAAGCUAGGGGAGCAAACAGG